ensembl:lncRNA
UUUCUUUGCAUUGAUUGCUGAGGAAGGCUUUCUUAUCUCUUCUUGCUAUUCUUUGGAACUCUGCAUUCAGAUGCUUAUAUCUUUCUUUUUCUCCUUGGCUUUUCACUUCUGUUCUCUUCACAGCUGUUUGUAAGGCUUCCCCAGAGAGCCAUUUUGCUUUUUUGCAUUUCUUUUCCAUGAGGAUGGUCAUGAUCCCUGUCUCCUGUACAAUGUCACGAACCUCAGUCCAUAGUUCAUCAGGCACUCUAUCUAUCAGAUCUAGGCCCUUAAAUCUAUUUCUCACUUCCACUGUAUAAUCAUAAGGGAUUUGAUUUAGGUCAUACCUGAAUGGUCUAGCGGUUUUCCCUACUUUCUUCAAUUUAAGUCUGAAUUUGGCAAUAAGGAGUUCAUGAUCUGAGCCACAGUCAGCUUCUGGUCUUGUUUUUGUUGACUGUAUAGAGCUUCUCCAUCUUUGGCUGCAUAGAAUAUAAUCAAUCUGAUUUUGGUGUUGACCAUCUGGUGAUGUCCAUGUGUAGAGUCUUCUCUUGUGUUGUUGAAAGAGGGUGUUUGCUAUGACCAGUGCAUUAUCUUGGCAAAACUCUAUUAGUCUUUGCCCUGCUCAUUUUGUAUUCCAAGGCCAAAUAUGUCUGUUACUCCAGGUGUUUCUUGACUUCCUGCGUUUGCAUUCCAGUCCCCUAUAAUGAAAAAGACAUCUCUUUUGGGUGUUAGUUCUAAAAGGUCUUGUAGGUCUUCAUAGAACCGUUCAACUUCAGCUUUGUCAGUGUUACUGUUUGGGGCAUAGACUUGGAUAACUGUGAUAUUGAAUGGUUUGCCUUGGAGAGGAACAGAGUUCAUUCUGUCGUUUUUGUGACUGCAUCCAAGUACUGCAUUUCUGACUCUUUUGUUGACCAUGAUGGCUACUCCAUUUCUUCUGAGGGAUUCCUACCUGUGGUAGUAGUAGAUAUAAUGGUCAUCUGAGUUAAAUUUACCCAUUCCAGUCCAUUUUAGUUCGCUGAUUCCUAGAAUGUUGACGUUCACCCUUGCCAUCUCUUGUUUGACCACUUCCAAUUUGCCUUGAUUCAUGGACCUGACAUUCCAGGUUCCUAUGCAAUACUGCUCUUUACAGCAUCGGAUCUUGCUUCUAUCACCAGUCACAUCCACAACUGGGUACUGUUUUUGCUUUGGCUCCAUCCCUUCAUUCUCUCUGGAGUUAUUUCUCCACUGAUCUCCAGUAGCAUAUUGGGCACCUAAUGACCUGGGGAGUUCCUCUUUCAGUAUCCUAUCAUUUUGCCUUUUCAUAGUGUUCAUGGGGUUUUCAAGGCAAGAAUACUGAAGUGGCUUGCCAUUCCCUUCUCCAGUGGACCAUAUUCUGUCAGAAAAAGUACUAAAUAGAAGACUUUAUUAUAUUUAUGUAAAUGAACAUGCAUCAGAUUUCUUGAGAUUCUACAUAAUAUAAAAUAAAGUCACUUGAGAACUAUUGACAAAAUACAGAGUACUAUGAAAGCUACAUUUUCUUACUCCAUAGGCCUUAUGCAGUUUUGCAUUGAUUGACUAUUUUCCUUAUAGUCAUGAAUACCUAAAACUUACAUGUCUGCUAAUUUCCCUAUAAACUUUUAAUGUGUAAUGACCCAAAUAAAAUAAAAAUUUACUUCUUACUCAACUAAAAUCUAAGAUAAGUGUUCUAUUUGGUGGUAAGUGAAAGUGUUAGUCACUUAGCCAUGGUCCUACUCUUUGUCACCCCAUGGACAGUAGCCCACUAGUUUCCUCUGACCAUGGGAUUUCCCAGUCAAGAAUACUGGAGGGAGGUGCCAUUCCCUUCUACAGGGGAAUCUUCUCAACCCAUAGAUUAAACCUGGCUCUCAUGCAGUGCAGACAGAUUCUUUGCUGUCUGAGUCAUAUCCCCUAAUUUAUGAUAUGAGAACCCAAUCUCCUCCUGUAUUUUAGGAAUAUGAUUUUCUCACAUAGUUUUCAAGAGUGCUAUGCUUGUCUUGCAUCAAGAUAGUACCCUGUUUGCUGUAAAGAACAAAUUGGGCCAUGAUGGGAAGUUGAUGUUGACCCAAAGAGGUCUGAAAGUUCACCUUAUUUUGGAUUGUCAUAUGAGGCAUGUUUGGAGAAUGAUAUUUUAGCACAUUGCCCAGGAAGAAGAGGAAAUCAGAUUGGUGAACUUCAAGGAUGUUUCUACCACAGGGGGAGCUAGCGAACUUCAUAGCUUUUCACAUCUAC